rnacentral:rRNA from 1 species
GUGGGGAAUAUUGGGCAAUGGGCGCAAGCCUGACCCAGCAACGCCGCGUGAAGGAAGAAGGCUUUCGGGUUGUAAACUUCUUUUACCAGGGACGAAACAAAUGACGGUACCUGGUGAAUAAGCCACGGCUAACUACGUGCCAGCAGCCGCGGUAAUACGUAGGUGGCGAGCGUUAUCCGGAUUUAUUGGGUGUAAAGGGCGUGUAGGCGGGACAGCAAGUCAGAUGUGAAAACCAGAGGCUCAACCUCUGGCCUGCAUUUGAAACUGUUGUUCUUGAGUGUCGGAGAGGUAAUCGGAAUUCCGUGUGUAGCGGUGAAAUGCGUAGAUAUACGGAGGAACACCAGUGGCGAAGGCGGAUUACUGGACUGUAACUGACGCUGAGGCGCGAAAGUGUGGGGAGCAAACAGGAUUAGAUACCCUUGUAGUCC